rnacentral:sRNA from 1 species
GACGUGUGUGCUUCAUGGACGUUUCCUCCCUAAACUCUGGCGGCGUCUCACGACGCCGCCUUUUUUUUGGCGCGG